rnacentral:misc_RNA from 1 species
GUAGGUGAACCUGCGGAAGGAUCAUUAACGAGUAUUGGGCCUAACGGUCCGACUCCCACCCAUUGUGUAUUUACCUGUUGCUUCGGCAGGACGUUUCUUUCGAGGAACCGUCGGCUUUAUUGCGGGUGUGUUCCUGCCGAAGGAUAUAAAACUCUUUUUUACAUGAAGUCUGAGUAUUAUUAAAAAAUCAAAACUUUCAACAACGGAUCUCUUGGUUCUG